rnacentral:rRNA from 1 species
UCUUGGUCCAUUAGAGGAAGUAAAAGUCGUAACAAGGUCUCCGUUGGUGAACCAGCGGAGGGAUCAUUACCGAGUUUACAACUCCCAAACCCCUGUGAACAUACCUAUACGUUGCCUCGGCGGAUCAGCCCGCGCCCCGUAAAACGGGACGGCCCGCCCGAGGACCCCUAAACUCUGUUUUUAGUGGAACUUCUGAGUAAAACAAACAAAUAAAUCAAAACUUUCAACAACGGAUCUCUUGGUUCUGGCAUCGAUGAAGAACGCAGCAAAAUGCGAUAAGUAAUGUGAAUUGCAGAAUUCAGUGAAUCAUCGAAUCUUUGAACGCACAUUGCGCCCGCCAGUAUUCUGGCGGGCAUGCCUGUUCGAGCGUCAUUUCAACCCUCAAGCUCAGCUUGGUGUUGGGACUCGCGGUAACCCGCGUUCCCCAAAUCGAUUGGCGGUCACGUCGAGCUUCCAUAGCGUAGUAAUCAUACACCUCGUUACUGGUAAUCGUCGCGGCCACGCCGUUAAACCCCAACUUCUGAAUGUGACCUCGGAUCAGGUAGAUGCCCCCCU